AAGUGAUCAAUUAUUACUAUAUCUAUAUUAUAACAUUUAUCACAUAGAUUUAUCAUACAUUUCGAAAUUAAAUAAUGCAGAUGAAAAUCUUUAUAUCUAUGACGGCGAAGAAGAUAUAAUUUACUACUCUAUCACAAAUUAUACUUUGGAUUAUAUGUAUAAUAAUGACAUAAAUGAGGAAUUUUUCA